rnacentral:rRNA from 1 species
GCAUGGACGCUGGCGGUAUGCUUAACACAUGCAAGUCGAACGAAAUACGAUGGGGUUUACUCUAUCGUAUGGCAGUGGCGGACGGGUGCGUAACGCGUAAGAACUUACCUUUUGGCGAGGGACAACCGCGGGAAACUGCGGCUAAUACCUCAUAGAGCUGAGGAGCGAAAGGUGAAAACCACCAAAAGAGAGGCUUGCGUCUGAUUAGCUAGUUGGUGAGGGUAAUGGCCUCCCAAGGCGACGAUCAGUAGCUGGUCUGAGAGGAUGAUCAGCCACACUGGAACUGAGACACGGUCCAGACUCCUACGGGAGGCAGCAGUGAGGAAUUUUCCGCAAUGGGCGAAAGCCUGACGGAGCAAUACCGCGUGGAGGAGGAAGGCCCGUGGGUCGUAAACUCCUUUUCUCAGAGAAGAACACAAUGACGGUAUCUGAGGAAUAAGCAUCGGCUAACUCCGUGC